rnacentral:rRNA from 1 species
UACGUAGGGAGCGAGCGUUGUCCGGAUUUAUUGGGCGUAAAGCGCGCGUAGGCGGCUUGAUAAGUCGGGUGUGAAAACUCCAAGCUCAACUUGGAGCCUGCAUUCGAAACUGUCAUGGCUAGAGUCUGGUAGGGGAACACGGAAUUCCUGGUGUAGCGGUGAAAUGCUUAGAUAUCAGGAGGAACACCAGUGGCGAAGGCGGUGUUCUGGGCCAGUACUGACGCUGAUGCGCGAAAGCGUGGGGAGCGAACAGG